GUCCUUAGUGCAGCACCCACGCAGGGUGGGUGGGGCUGUGUGCCUGAAUCUUCCCUCCCACCAACUGGCUUCCUGCAGCCUGUUCCUUGGUGCUGGGCUGGGGGCUCGCCUCAUCCGCCCGCCUUCUUGGCGUGGCAUCCGGCAAGAACGUGGGCCGGGGCUGCACGCACCUUGGGCUGUGGGCCGGCAGCUCCCCGCCACUGUCUGUGCUGCCCUCUGCCCUGCCCCUCCUCCUGUGGCACUCCAGCUGGGGGUGGCUGGGCAGAGUCCCCAUGGGAUCACCCUGAGCCCAGCCGACGACCCCCAAGUGAACAUACGAGCCCAGUACCCAACUCCGGAGGUGGGCACACCCCUUGCCCAUUUGACAGAUGGGGCAAGGGAGGCUCAGAGGGGUGAAAUCAUGACCCAGGGUCACACAGUGAGCAAAUGACCAGGGUCAGACUGGCAUCCUGGCUCCAUGAGAGCACCGGGAGUUCCUGCAGAGUUGUCACCAACAGUCCUACCCUCACUGCCAUCCCCAGAGAGAACAUCUGAGGCAACCAGGUCUCAUAGCCUUCCCAUCCCCAAAGUCCAACCCACUGGGCAGUGUGGCCCCACCUGCCUUUUCCCACCAUUCUACUGCCCCACCCUCUCCCAGGGUCUGGGGCUCCACCUCGCUCCUUCCAGGCUGGACACCCCUCAUCCAUGUUCUCACCUCGGCUCCCGCAGUGCCCAAGUCUGGGUGCAGGGUGGGUGCCCACAAACUAAGGCAGCCCCUAUGGGAGCCCAAGGGCAGGGCUUUCUUACACCCUCACAGCAACUGCGGGGACCUCAGGGCAGACAGGGAGGCUCAGAGGGGACCUGUGCUGCUUCUAGGAUGCCCAGCAAUAAGCGCUGAGCUGGAAUUUGGACCCAGGUGUCCUGCUCCAAAGCCACCUGCCUCACCUGAGGACCAGGGGCCUGAUGGCCGAGGUGGAUGCCGACAUGUGAGGAGGAAGGGCAGUGGCGGCCUGGUCCUGGUCCCCUCACUCUCCUGCCCCAAGGCCCCAGUAGGUGACAUAAUUCACAGGGCAAUGUUUAUGCACUGAACGGUAAACACACAGGCAGAGGGGUAGAUGGGCCACCAAUGGGGAAACUGAGGCCAGCGAGAAGGGACACACUAAGGUCACAUAGUCAGUCGGUAUCAAAGUUGGCCCAGAACCACAGUCCCCUGUUCCAAGGGCUGUACCCAGCCCAACCACAACCUGGCAUGCCAUCCAGCCCCAGGCCAGGGAGCCCACGGCUGCAGGGCGGCAAAGCACACGGUACCACACGUGGUACCCCAUGGCCCCACACACUCUGGCUGGCACCGAGCCAUCGCUGUGCUUUCUGACCUUGCGUUUUCUGACAUUCUGCCACUGUCAACUCUCACUCAGGUAUCCAGGAAGCGGCCUCUGUUGCUAGGGGACUGGCUUGAUGCCGGGUGGCUGGCAGAGUGGGGAGAUGGGGAGGGGGGAGUGGACUGGGGUGUCCCUCAGGAAGGAUCCAGGGGCAGAGUCUACUGGGUCCUGUGUCAGGGUGGAGGGCCAUGAGAAGUAUCUGAGGAAACUCAGCAGGUCAGGCCCCUUCCUCCCCAGGCUCUAAUGAAGGUCCUGGACCCUGGUCUCUGCAUUUUCUCUUUCAGCCUCAGAGUCUUCUUUUUGGGCCAGGGGUGGGUGUGCGCUGGUGGGGGUUGGAAGUGAGCCAUCGGAAAGCCCAUCGGAAAGCCCCAGCCCGGAGCCUUCCUGCAGGGAAAAUUGGACAGACACGCACAGGCGGACAGACACGAACUGAUGAAGGCACAGUUUGCAGUCACACGUCUACAAAACCAGGAACGAAUGCCAAGGAAACUGGCAGCCACCAGAGGUUGGAAGAUGCAAGGAAGUAUCCUCUCCUAGAACCUUCAGAGACAGCAUGGCCUUGCUGACCCCUGGAUUUUGGACUUCUGGCCUUUAGAACUGUGAGAGAAUACAUUUCUGUUGUGUUGAGCCACCCAGCACUUUGUGACAGCAGCCCAGGAAGCUGACCCGAUAGACACUGGUCCCAGUCAUCACCCUCUGUGCCAUCACCACACCUCCCCUCCACGAAUCAACCACGACCACAGGACACCUCCUUCUGGAAUCUCUCUGUGCCCACGCACUCCCCAGAUGAGCACUUCCCCUUCCCCUGGCAACUCCCCGGAUUCUUGUUACCCCCACCCCCCGCCCCGGCAUGGCCUGGGCCCAGGAGACAGAUACGAAAUGAAUGAGUGAAUAUCCACCUUUGCUACUUCGUCAUA
rnacentral:lncRNA from 1 species